rnacentral:rRNA from 1 species
UACGGAGGGGGCGAGCGUUACCCGGAGUUACUGGGUGUAAAGGGCGUGUAGGCGGUCUCCGGAGUCCGAGGCUAAAGCGCGAGGCUUAACGUCGGGAGGGCGGUGGAUACUGUGAGGCUAGACGGGCGGAGAGGGCAGUGGAAUUCCCGGAGUAGCGGUGAAAUGCGCAGAUACCGGGAGGAACGCCAGUAGCGAAGGCGGCUGCCUGGGCGAUUCGUGACGCUGAGGCGCGACAGCGUGGGGAGCAAACCGG